AACGAACGCUGGCGGCAUGCCUAACACAUGCAAGUCGAGCGCCCGUAGCGAUACGGGAGCGGCGCACGGGUGAGUAACGCGUGGGAACCUGCCCUUAGGUUCGGGACAACCGCGGGAAACUGCGGCUGAUACCGGAUGAAGUCCCCGAUAGAGAUAUUGGGGCCCAAAGAUUUAUCGCCUUUGGAGGGGCCCGCGUCGGAUUCGGUAGUUGGUGGGGUAACGGCUCACCAAGCUUGUGAUCCGUAGAUGGUCUGAGAGGAUGAUCAGCCACACUGGGACUGAGACACGGCCCAGACUCCUACGGGAGGCAGCAGUGGGGAGUAUUGGACGAUGGGGGCAACCCUGAUCCAGCAAUGCCGCGUGGGUGAUGAAGGCCUUCGGGUUGUAAAGCCCUUUCGGCGGGGACGAUGAUGACGGUACCCGCAGAAGAAGCCCCGGCUAACUUCGUGCCAGCCGCCGCAGUAACAC
rnacentral:rRNA from 1 species